GAUGGUAAAUAAUGAAAAUUGUGUCCCCUUCCAAAUGAUUGGCUUAACUCUCUAUAAGACUUAUGGACAUCUAUAGUCCUUGGCAGUAGUGGUAACCUGCCUCAGCCAGACAUGGGCUGAACAGGUACUUCCUGCAUGUGAACACAAAAGCAAUAAGUGCUGCCCAGCUGGGACCAGGUAUCAUGGUGAUUUGAGCAGACUCCCACGACUUCAUCAGAUAUGGUGGAAUGGAUUAAUGACUGUUGGGAUUGUUUUUCAAUAAAAUUGUCAACAAGG